AGCAUAUCAAUAAGCGGAGGAAAAGAAACCAACCGGGAUUGCCUCAGUAACGGCGAGUGAAGCGGCAAGAGCUCAAAUUUGAAAGCUGGCUCCUUCGGGGUCCGCAUUGUAAUUUGCAGAGGAUGCUUCGGGUGCGGCCCCUGUCUAAGUGCCCUGGAACGGGCCGUCAGAGAGGGUGAGAAUCCCGUCUGGGAUGGGGUGUCCGCGCCCGUGUGAAGCUCCUUCGACGAGUCGAGUUGUUUGGGAAUGCAGCUCUAAAUGGGUGGUAAAUUUCAUCUAAAGCUAAAUAUUGGCCGGAGACCGAUAGCGCACAAGUAGAGUGAUCGAAAGAUGAAAAGCACUUUGAAAAGAGAGUUAAACAGCACGUGAAAUUGUUGAAAGGGAAGCGCUUGCGACCAGACUCGCCCGCGGGGUUCAGCCGGCAUUCGUGCCGGUGUACUUCCCCGUGGGCGGGCCAGCGUCGGUUUGGGCGGCCGGUCAGCGGCUCCCGGAAUGUAGCGCCUCUCGGGGCGCCUUAUAGCCGGGGGUGCAGUGCGGCCAGCCUGGACCGAGGAACGCGCUUCGGCACGGACGCUGGCAUAAUGGUCGUAAACGACCCGUCUUGAAACACGGACCAAGGAGUCUAACAUCUACGCGAGUGUUCGGGUGUCAAACCCGUGCGCGCAGUGAAAGCGAACGGAGGUGGGAGCCCCCUGAGGGGCGCACCAUCGACCGAUCCUGAUGUCUUCGGAUGGAUUUGAGUAGGAGCGUAGCUGUGGGGACCCGAAAGAUGGUGAACUAUGCCUGAAUAGGGCGAAGCCAGAGGAAACUCUGGUGGAGGCUCGCAGCGGUUCUGACGUGCAAAUCGAUCGUCAAAUUUGGGUAUAGGGGCGAAAGACUAAUCGAACCAUCUGGUAGCUGGUUCCUGCCGA
rnacentral:rRNA from 1 species